GAUGAACGCUGGCGGCGUGCCUAAUACAUGCAAGUCGAGCGAACAGACGAGGAGCUUGCUCCUUAGACGUUAGCGGCGGACGGGUGAGUAACACGUGGGAAACCUACCUAUAAGACGGGGAAAACUUCGGGAAACCGGCGCUAAUACCGGAUAAUAUUUCGAACCGCAUGGUUAGAUAGUGAAAGAUGGCUUUGCUAUCACUUAUAGAUGGACCUGCGCCGUAUUAGUUAGAUGGUAAGGUAACGGCAUACCACGGCAACGAAACGUAGCGGGCCUGAGAGGGUGAGCGGCCAGCCUGGAACUGAGGCUCGGCCCAGACUCCUGGGGGAGGCAGCAGUAGGGAAUCCUCCGGGAUGGGCGAAAGGCGGACGGAGCAACACCGCGUGAAUGCUGAUGGUGCUCGGCUGGGUAGAGUCAGUUAGUAGGCAGAUUCUAAACUGUAGGUGACUAUGCACGUCUUGACGGUACUUAAUAAGAAAGCCACGGCUAACUACGUG
rnacentral:rRNA from 1 species